GUGGGGAAUAUUGGGCAAUGGGGGGAACCCUGACCCAGCGACGCCGCGUGGGUGAAGAAAUCCUUCGGGAUGUAAAGCCCUGUUGUAUGGGAAGAGCGGAAGACGGUACCAUACGAGGAAGCCCCGGCAAACUACGUGCCAGCAGCCGCGGUAAUACGUAGGGGGCAAGCGUUGUCCGGAAUUACUGGGCGUAAAGCGCACGCAGGCUGAAUUAUAAGUCGGUAGUAAAAGGCGGGGGCUCAACUUCCGUAUAUCUAUCGAUACUGUAAAUCUAGAGUAUGUGAGAGGGAAGCGGAAUUCCCGGUGUUGCGGUGAAAUGCGUAGAUAUCGGGAGGAACACCAGUGGCGAAGGCGGCUUCCUGGCACAAUACUGACGCUCAUGUGCGAAAGCUAGGGCAGCGAACGGGAUUAGAAACCCCAGUAGUCC
rnacentral:rRNA from 1 species